GGAGGGCGGCGCCGCCAUGUCGUCCCCGGGGCGGUGCGAGGAGGUGGACCAGACGCUGUUCGUGGGGAACCUGGAGAGCCGCGUGCGGGAGGAGAUCCUCUACGAGCUCUUCCUGCAGCAAUCCUCUGUCAAGUUAAAAGGUCCCAGACUGACUGGGCAUUUUAUCUGACAGCACAGUGAUAAACUUGCUUCUACCAAUGCACUGAUUGCCUCUGUCUCAGAAUGAAUCUUGCUUCCUUCUGGUGAGUUCAGAAAAUAAAGAGUGCAAAAACAAGAGGUGGGCAGAAUCAUCUGUUCUCUUGCUAUUUCAUUUGCUAAUCAGGACUAGUUCUACUCACCAGUUUUAUUCCACUGAUUAAUCUGCUAUUUGUCUCGUUAACCAGUAUUUUCAUUGAAAGGCCUUUUUGUUUGGUAUGUUCCAGCCCUUUGGGUUGCUACCUGUGUUCCCUUAUAUUCCUAGCUUUCAGUUUUUGACUUUUCCCUGAAAUUAGCAAAGAAAUAUUUGUUUCUUCUCUUCCUGCCCCCCUUAUUUUCUCUGCAGUAUUCCUACCUGUUUCCAACACUAAACAGCAGUCUGCUGUUUAACUGCAAAUCUUGGGUAAAGAAAGCUUAUCUUAGCAGAGGACAUGACUAAUUCCAUACAAUUUCUGGUACAAAAGUGGUAAAAACAAGUGGAUGCUCCCAGAUGCGGUUUUUCAUGACUUUUCUGCAUAAUCUGCAGCACUCACCCAACUGCUGACUUUUAUCUGAGUCUUUAGGUCAUCCUGAUAACACCUAUUUUGAUUUUUUUGUUCUGUUCACCUUAUUCUCCAUCGGGUUUCUCUGUCUUUUGCUGCAACAGCAUGUGCUGCUCACUGCAGUACUGCCCUUUCUUGGGAAGUACGGAGUUCAAUAUUCCUCCUAUGCCAUGGUCCUAAAGAUGCACUCCAGACCUGUAGCUUUUCCCCUCAUCAAAUUAUGAGCAACUAUCUAGUGCUUCUAAACUAUUAAUAUUUUUCUUUAUGAACAGGAAGACUACCUAUUUAAAAGAACAAUCAGCAAAGGAUUCGAGUUUGUCAUUUCUAGUUCUUGAAGAACCAGAUCAUCCUCAUUAGGCAAAUAUUAACCAGAAGACUGGAUAUAUGUAAUUUAAAAAAAUGCAGUGUAGUGCAAAACAGCAACAAAAACACCUGAAGGAGCCAAUUCAAGCAAAAAUAAAUGUUCAGAAUCUUACUGAAAUCCCUUCUUUAAAAUAAACAAGCCCCCAACCCAACCAACCAAAAUAAUAAACCAGAAACAAACACCCAAACAAAGAAAAAAAAAACAAACAACCAAAAGACCCCAGCAAACUUCCAGAUAUUUGGAAAGAUGAGAUCAACAUUUUAAAGAUUCCCUGCACAGGACAGCCUAUGUAGUAUCCAUUGCUGUAUACCUGAUCGCCCUCUGCACCACUAAUAAAAACAGUGUGUUAUCUUUGA